AGCGAACGCUGGCGGCAGGCUUAACACAUGCAAGUCGAACGGGCAUAGCAAUAUGUCAGUGGCAGACGGGUGAGUAACGCGUGGGAACGUACCUUUUGGUUCGGAACAACACAGGGAAACUUGUGCUAAUACCGGAUAAGCCCUUACGGGGAAAGAUUUAUCGCCGAAAGAUCGGCCCGCGUCUGAUUAGCUAGUUGGUAGGGUAAUGGCCUACCAAGGCGACGAUCAGUAGCUGGUCUGAGAGGAUGAUCAGCCACAUUGGGACUGAGACACGGCCCAAACUCCUACGGGAGGCAGCAGUGGGGAAUAUUGGACAAGGGGCGAAAGCCUGAUCCAGCCAUGCCGCGUGAGUGAUGAAGGCCCUAGGGUUGUAAAGCUCUUUUGUGCGGGAAGAUAAUGACGGUACCGCAAGAAUAAGCCCCGGCUAACUUCGUG
rnacentral:rRNA from 1 species